rnacentral:rRNA from 1 species
UACGUAGGGUGCAAGCGUUGUCCGGAAUUAUUGGGCGUAAAGAGCUCGUAGGCGGUUUGUCGCGUCGGCUGUGAAAUCCCGAGGCUCAACCUCGGGCCUGCAGUCGAUACGGGCAAACUAGAGUGUGGUAGGGGAGACUGGAAUUCCUGGUGUAGCGGUGAAAUGCGCAGAUAUCAGGAGGAACACCGGCGGCGAAGGCGGGUCUCUGGACAUUUCCUGACGCUGAGGCACGAAAGCCAGGGGAGCAAACGGG